GAUGAACGCUGGCGGCGUGCCUAAUACAUGCAAGUCGAGCGAACGGACGAGAAGCUUGCUUCUCUGAUGUUAGCGGCGGACGGGUGAGUAACACGUGGAUAACCUACCUAUAAGACUGGGAUAACUUCGGGAAACCGUAGCUAAUACCGUAUAAUAUUUUGAACCGCAUGGUUCAAUAGUGAAAGACGGUCUUGCUGUCACUUAUAGAUGGAUCCGCGCUGCAUUAGCUAGUUGGUAAGGUAACGGCUUACCAAGGCAACGAUGCAUAGCCGACCUGAGAGGGUGAUAGGCCACACUGGAGCUGGAACGCGGUCCAGACUCCUACGGGAGGCAGCAGUAGGGAAUCUGCCGCAGUGGGGGAAAGCAUGACGGAGCAGGGCCGAGCGAGUGACGACGGUCUUCGGAUCGUAAAACUCUGUUAUGAGGGAAGAACAUAUGUGUAAGUAACUGUGCACAUCUUGACGGUACCUAAUCAGAAAGCCACGGCUAACUACGUG
rnacentral:rRNA from 1 species